rnacentral:rRNA from 1 species
AAUAAGCGGAGGAAAAGAAACCAACCGGGAUUGCCUCAGUAACGGCGAGUGAAGCGGCAAAAGCUCAAAUUUGAAAUCUGGUACCUUCGGUGCCCGAGUUGUAAUUUGUAGAGGGCGACUUUGGGGCGGCUCCUUGUCUAUGUUCCUUGGAACAGGACGUCAUAGAGGGUGAGAAUCCCGUGUGGCGAGGAGUGCGGUUCCGUGUAAAGCGCUCUCGAAGAGUCGAGUUGUUUGGGAAUGCAGCUCUAAGUGGGUGGUAAAUUCCAUCUAAAGCUAAAUAUUGGCGAGAGACCGAUAGCGAACAAGUACAGUGAUGGAAAGAUGAAAAGAACUUUGAAAAGAGAGUGAAAAAGUACGUGAAAUUGUUGAAAGGGAAGGGCAUUUGAUCAGACAUGGUGUUUUGCGCCCCCCGCUCCUCGUGGGUGGGGGACUCUCGCAGCUCACUGGGCCAGCAUCAGUUUUGGCGGCCGGACAAAACUGCAGGAACGUAGCUUGCUUCGGGAAGUGUUACAGCCUGCAGGAAUACGGCCAGCCGGGACUGAGGAAUGCGAUUCGUCAAGGAUGCUGGCAUAAUGGUUAUAUGCCGCCCGUCUUGAAACACGGACCAAGGAGUCUAACGUCUAUGCGAGUGUUUGGGUGUGAAACCCAUA